GAUGAACGCUGGCGGCGUGCCUAGUACAUGCAAGUCGAGCGAACAGACGAGGAGCUUGCUCCUCUGACGUUAGCGGCGGACGGGUGAGUAACACGUGGAUAACCUACCUAUAAUACUGGGAUAACUUCGGGAAACCGGAUCUAAUACCGGAUAAUAUAUUGAACCGCAUGGUUCAAUAGUGAAAGACGGUUUUGCUGUCACUUAUAGAUGGAUCCGCGCCGCAUUAGCUAGUUGGUAGGGUAACGGCUUACCAAGGCAACGAUGCGUAGCCGACCUGAGAGGGGGACCGGCCACAGUGGGAGAGAGAUACGGCCCAGACGGCGACGUGAGGAAGGAGUGGGGAAGAUUGCACAAGGGGUGGAAGCCGGAAGCAGAAACGCCGCGUGCGGGAGGACGGCCGUCGGGGGGUAAACAGCUGUCGCCUGUGACGAAGCGGGAGUGACGGGAAUGGGUAAAGAAGCACCGGCUAACUACGUG
rnacentral:rRNA from 1 species